rnacentral:rRNA from 1 species
GCUCACGGCCAUAUCAGCCUGGGUACGCCCGAUCUCGUCUGAUCUCGGAAGCUAAGCAGGGUCGGGCCUGGUUAGUACUUGGAUGGGAGACCGCCUGGGAAUACCAGGUGCUGUAAGAA